rnacentral:rRNA from 1 species
CACGUAGGGGGCAAGCGUUGUCCGGAUUCAUUGGGCGUAAAGAGCUCGUAGGCGGUUCGAUAAGUCGGGUGUGAAACCUCCAGGCUCAACCUGGGAGACGCCACCCGAUACUGUCGUGACUAGAGUCCAGUAGGGGAGCGUGGAAUUCCUGGUGUAGCGGUGAAAUGCGCAGAUAUCAGGAAGAACACCCCGUGGCGAAGGCGGCUCUCUGGGGCAUUACCCUGACGUGAGGGAGCGAAAAGUGUGGGGG